rnacentral:rRNA from 1 species
AUACGGAGGGUGCAAGCGUUAUUCGGAAUCACUGGGCGUAAAGGACGCGUAGGCGGGUUGGCAAGUCAGAUGUGAAAUCCUACAGCUUAACUGUAGAACUGCAUUUGAAACUGCUAACCUAGAGUAUGAGAGGGGGAGAUGGAAUUAGUGGUGUAGGGGUAAAAUCCGUAGAUAUCACUAGGAAUACCGAAAGCGAAGGCGAUCUCCUGGAACAUAACUGACGCUAAGGCGUGAAAGCGUGGGGAGCAAACAGAAUUAGAAACCCCAGUAGUCC